AUUGAACGCUGGCGGCAGGCCUAACACAUGCAAGUCGAGCGGAUGAAGGGAGCUUGCUCCUGGAUUCAGCGGCGGACGGGUGAGUAAUGCCUAGGAAUCUGCCUGGUAGUGGGGGAUAACGUCCGGAAACGGGCGCUAAUACCGCACACGUCCUGAGGGAGAAAGUGGGGGAUCUUCGGACCUCACGCUAUCAGAUGAGCCUAGGUCGGAUUAGCUAGUUGGUGGGGUAAAGGCCUACCAAGGCGACGAUCCGUAACUGGUCUGAGAGGAUGAUCGGUCACACUGGAACUGAGACACGGUCCAGACUCCUACGGGAGGCAGCAGUGGGGAAUAUUGGACAAUGGGCGAAAGCCUGAUCCAGCCAUGCCGCGUGUGUGAAGAAGGUCUUCGGAUUGUAAAGCACUUUAAGUUGGGAGGAAGGGCAGUAAGUUAAUACCUUGCUGUUUUGACGUUACCAACAGAAUAAGCACCGGCUAACUUCGUG
rnacentral:rRNA from 1 species